rnacentral:rRNA from 1 species
UACAGAGGGGGCAAGCGUUGUUCGGAAUUACUGGGCGUAAAGGGCGCGUAGGCGGCCUUCUAAGUCGAACGUGAAAUCCCCGGGCUCAACCCGGGAACUGCGUCCGAUACUGGAAGGCUUGAAUCCGGGAGAGGGAUGCGGAAUUCCAGGUGUAGCGGUGAAAUGCGUAGAUAUCUGGAGGAACACCGGUGGCGAAGGCGGCAUCCUGGACCGGUAUUGACGCUGAGGCGCGAAAGCCAGGGGAGCCAAAGCGGG